rnacentral:rRNA from 1 species
GAUGAACGCUAGCGGCAGGCCUAAUACAUGCAAGUCGAACGGUAAGUUGAAUAGCAAUAUUUGACCUAGAGUGACGUACGGGUGCGUAACACGUAUGCAACCUACCUUGUACAGGAGGAUAGCUCGGGGAAACUCGAAUUAACCCUCCAUAAGAUCGUGAAGUGGCAUCACUUAGCGAUAAAAACUCUGGUGGUACAAGAUGGGCAUGCGUCUGAUUAGUUAGUUGGCGGGGUAACGGCCCACCAAGACGAUGAUCAGUAGGGGAACUGAGAGGUUGAUCCCCCACACUGGCACUGAGAUACGGGCCAGACUCCUACGGGUGGCAG